rnacentral:rRNA from 1 species
GAGUUUGAUCAUGGCUCAGAUUGAACGCUGGCGGAAUGCUUUACACAUGCAAGUCGAACGGCAGCACGGGGCAACCUGGUGGCGAGUGGCGAACGGGUGAGUAAUACAUCGGAACGUGCCCAGUCGUGGGGGAUAACGUAGCGAAAGCUACGCUAAUACCGCAUACGAUCUACGGAUGAAAGCGGGGGAUCGCAAGACCUCGCGCGAUUGGAGCGGCCGAUGGCAGAUUAGGUAGUUGGUGGGGUAAAGGCCUACCAAGCCGACGAUCUGUAGCUGGUCUGAGAGGACGACCAGCCACACUGGGACUGAGACACGGCCCAGACUCCUACGGGAGGCAGCAGUGGGGAAUUUUGGACAAUGGGCGCAAGCCUGAUCCAGCCAUUCCGCGUGCAGGAUGAAGGCCCUCGGGUUGUAAACUGCUUUUGUACGGAACGAAACGCGUUGAGCUAAUACCUCGAUGUAAUGACGGUACCGUAAGAAUAAGCACCGGCUAACUACGUGCCAGCAGCCG